rnacentral:rRNA from 1 species
GUUGGCAGGGUAACGGCCUACCAAAGCGACGAUCAGUAGCCGGCCUGAGAGGGUGACCGGCCACAUUGGGACUGAGACACGGCCCAAACUCCUACGGGAGGCAGCAGUGGGGAAUAUUGCACAAUGGGGGAAACCCUGAUGCAGCGACGCCGCGUGAGUGAAGAAGUAUUUCGGUAUGUAAAGCUCUAUCAGCAGGGAAGAUAAUGACGGUACCUGCACAAGAAGCCCCGGCUAACUACGUGCCAGCAGCCGCGGUAAUACGUAGGGGGCAAGCGUUAUCCGGAUUUACUGGGUGUAAAGGGAGCGUAGACGGAACGGCAAGUCAGAUGUGAAAGGCAUGGGCUCAACUCGUGGACUGCAUUUGAAACUGUCGAUCUGGAGUGUCGGAGGGGCAGGCGGAAUUCCUGGUGUAGCGGUGAAAUGCGUAGAUAUCAGGAAGAACACCGGUGGCGAAGGCGGCCUGCUGGACGACAACUGACGUUGAGGCUCGAAGGCGUGGGGAGCAAACAGGAUUAGAUACCCUGGUAGUCCACGCAGUAAACGAUGAAUACUAGAUGCUGGGUUCCACAGGGACUCGGUGUCGGCGCAAACGCAUUAA